rnacentral:rRNA from 1 species
CAGCCGUAAACUAUGCGCGUUAGGUGUAUCGGUGACCACGAGUUACCGAGGUGCCGAAGGGAAACCGUGAAACGUGCCGCCUGGGAAGUACGGUCGCAAGGCUGAAACUUAAAGGAAUUGGCCGGGGGGAGCACCACAACAGGUGGAGCCUGCGGUUUAAUUGGACUCAACGCCGGGAAGCUCACCGGAUAGGACAGCAGAAUGAUUGCCGGGCUGAAGACCCUGCAUGACUAGCUGAGAGGUGGUGCAUGGCGUCAGUGACU